AAAUGAUAACACACAAUUUUCUUCUGUUUCUUAAAGUGCCACCUCCAGUAUUGAUUAUUUUGUAUUCUGGCCUCUGCCUUCAGAACAACCAGAAAAACAGCAAGGCAGAAAGAACCAGAGUCAUGAACUUUAAACAUUGAUGGUACAGGAAACUGAAAUUCUUUUUCUGCUCUUCACAGGAAGGGAAAUCUAUGAGCUUUCCUAUGGUACUGUUUUCUCCAAUGGUUUUGAGGUUAUUCUGUUGUGUGUUGCCUGUUUCUGUUUCUCCAUAGUCUGAAAAGACAAGUUUGUAUAGUUGGAAUUGUCUUGUGGUAUAGAAUUAUCUUUCAGUAAUCUCUAAAAUUCUGUUCUCAAAGCAUUUGUGUAUUUACAAGUGCAGGUGUAGAGUGUAGGUGAUGGUGGGUAGUCAGGCUGUAGAGUGUAGGUGAUGGAGGGUAGUCAGGCUGUAGAGUGUAGGUGAUGGAGGGUAGUCAGGUUGUAGAGUGUAGGUGAUGGAGGGUAGUCAGGCUGUAGAGUGUAGGUGAUGGAGGGUAGUCAGGCUGUAUAGUGUAGGUGAUGGAGGGUAGUCAGACUGUAUAGUGUAGGUGAUGGAGGGUAGUCAGGCUGUAGAGUGUAGGUGAUGGAGGGUAGUCAGACUGUAAAGUGUAGGUGAUGCAGGGUAGUCAGGCUGUAUAGUGUAGGUGAUAGAGGGGCAGUCAGGCUGUAGAAUGUAGAUGAUGGAGGGUAGUCAGGCUGUAGAGUGUAGGUGUUGGAGGGGCAGUCAGUCAGGCUAUAGAGUGUAGGUGUUGGAGGGGCAGUCAGGCUGUAGAGUGUAGGUGAUGGAGGAGCAGUCAGGCUGUAGAGUGUAGGUGAUGGAGGAGCAGUCAGUCAGACUGUAGAGUGUAGGUGAUGGAGGGGCAGUCAGGCUGUAGAGUGUAGGUGAUGGACGACAGUCAAUCAGGCUGUAGAGUGUAGGUGAUGGAGGGGCAGAACCUUUCAUGCUAGUUUUGUCCUUUACAGUUUACUUGGCAUUUGUAUUUCAUUGUUUUGUUUUUAAUUUUCCAAAGAUAAUUUUUACUAUUGCUUUCUUUGGCAGACGGAGCAGAUGUUAUUUCCAUUUACUGAUUGCUAGACCACAGAAAUGAAAGAGCUUAUUAAAGAAUGAUUUAACGGGCUGAGUAUAUAGUUCUGUAAUAGUGCCUGCAUACAUGCAUGCAUGCAAAUGCCCACAUGUGUGUGUGCACACAUACACACACACACACACAUGCACACACACAAUGUAAUAAAGGAUCUGUUUCUUCAUAACCACAUUCAUGUUUAUCUUAAGACUUUUAAACUUUUAAAAGAACUUAUUAUUUUACUUUACAUGUAUGAGCGUUUGCCUACAUGGAUGUCUGUGCAUCGUGUGCAUGUAGUGCCUACAAAGGCCAGAAGAUUCCCUAGAACUGGAGUUAUAAACAAUUGUAAGAUGCCAUGUGUGUGGUCCUGGGAAUCAAACCCAGUGCUCUUAACCCCUGAGCUAUCUUUUCAGUUCCUCAUUGUAAGAUUUUAAAAUAUUAUAUCCUUGAGCUAUUUAUAUAGACAACUGCCACCUUCUUAUAACUCCAAUAUUUUAUUAUUUCAUGAUUUUUUCUUAAAGUAAAUUCACAGGUUGAACAUUUCCACAAAUUAUUCUUAAAUAUAUUACCUGUGCACAUCUAUGUCAUAAAACAAUGCCUAUACUUUUCUUGCUUGACCUGAGUUUUGAAGGCAGAGCAGGUGAGGUGAGAUGAAUGGGAUCAGUGGGACUCCCCGGCUGCUGUUUCCUUUGCCAUUCUCAUCUCAUGUUAAUGAGUCCACACCAUGCCUAGGAAAGAGUUUUACAACAUUGUUGAUGUGACAUAGUAACCAGUGGCCUCAAGAACCUUAAGAACUGGAUUUCCCUGGUAGAAACUUGUUCAUGCUUAUUUCUUUUCAGUGUUCAUAGUUGGGCCAUUUUAGACACAUUAAUUCGGAAUUUUUGAGUAUUAGAAACAAGAAGGGUUUGAAAAUUGUUUUUGCUUAGUUCUUCCUUUUGUUGGCUGAGGAAACUUCAUCUAGGUGCUACGCAGUUACCCUACCAGCUGCACUCCAUUUGUACCCUAAAGCACUGGUGCUAGAACACUGUGGUAUCCUAUUCAGACUCAUGAAGUACUAUCCCCUCCCCAGAGUCUCUUUGCUCUUCAGGUAAGGUGAUCUUGUGUGUGUCUUUGGAACUACAAAUAGUCAACAUCUUUUCAUAUGCUUAUUAAAUCAUCAGUGAGUUGCAAUGUGUUAGAUUGUGGUUAUGUUUCAGAGUGUGCUCUGAGGAUCUUCAGCAUUCACUGAAAUAUCACCAAUUCUCCUGAGCCUGUGGUUGACUGCCAUGCCCCUUCUCAGCAUCAAUGCAGGGAACUCAGCCUCAUCUGUUGCUACGGAGUGCAGGACAUAGCUCGUAAUUUUCUGGUUCUCAUGGGCAAAGAGGACCAGCUAUUUCUUCAUUUAAGAAUUACCUACUAAUUGUGACAAUUUGGUCUUUACGUCUUUCUGAAGAAGAAAGUAUUUGCAAUUCGUGGGGUGUUAUCACAGACCAGGUAUUCCUAACCCUCCCUGCUAUCUAGCUCCAUGGCACAGCACAGAGUGGAUGUCUGUCUAGGCCAGCAGUUUUUAACCUGUGGGUCACAACCACUUUGGGGGUCAUAUAUCAGAUAUCCUACAUAUCAGAUAUUUACAUCUGAUUUAUAAUAGUAGUAAAAUUACACUUUUGAAGUAGCAAAAACAAAAGCAAACCCCAAACCAAUGUUAUAAUUGUAGGUCAUCACAACAUGGGGAACUGUAUCAAAGUGUCACAGCCUUAAGAAGGUUGAGAACCACCGAGCUAGGCAUUUACACUCAUGGAGUGGUUUUAGCACAAAUUUGGACAGAGUGCUUUUCUUCUUUAAAGUUUUGUUUUACAAAGGGAACUACUUGGGGCUACUCUCAUUAAGACUUUCAAGGUCAACUAUAAUGGGAAGUAUGAAAUGUUUUUAAAGGCAGAGUAUUUCACAAGCUCAGGGAGCUGGGCACCAUAUGCCCAACACACACUUAACAUAAAACUUACAUAUUUGUGAUAAACACUCUUCUUGUGGCUGAAUUAAUAAAAGUUAACAAUAUGGAGAUUCUUUGCAGAGAGAAUUUAUUUUCUUUUAAAAUAGUCAUGAGUUAUUGAUACUAAUAUUUAGUAACCUUGAUAAUUUAUAAAAUAGUAUUUAGAUUACAAGUAUAGUCAUAAUAUAAUACUAUGUUAUAAUAUUAGUUAUGGUAAUCCUAUAUUAUAAACUAGGAUGAAUUCUUAGUAAUAUGAGUAUUUUAUUAUUAAUGGCCUCUGUAAAUACCAAUAAAUAUUACUAAGAUUAUAGUGUUAAAAACCACACCGCCUAAAUGUUACAAACAGAAAAAAUUAUAGCUCCAGGCAGGCAGAAUCCUAAAAGUUAACCUCAUCCAUUCUCUCAUUUCCUAAACAGCAGGAAAUGAUUCUUAGAUCUCUUCAUAGAAAUGCUCAGACAUUGCCUGGGAAUGCUGUAUGGUGAGAUUGACUGUUGAGCAGGCCGGAGUUAUUACCCCGAUUUUAGAGACUCAGAUCCUCCUGAGUGACUUGUUGAGUAUUAUAUGACAGUAAGGACAGAGCUCAUGCGUGGACUUGUGGGAUAUCUUCAAUGACUGUGUGAGUUGUGCAUCACAGAUGAAUUUGUGAUGACUUGUUUGGAAGCUGCCCUGAGAACUAAUAUACAUGAACAGAGAAGAUUAGAUGUUUUCGCACAAAGAGAUGUUCAUGUAAUUGGUGACAAAAUUCUCAUUCAUUUUGUAGUCUGUCAGCCUAAUUAACUGUUGAAAUGAAUUUGUAAUAAGGUGAUGGAUUCCCAAUUCUUACA